CAGAGCACUGGACCUGGUGAUCACUGUGGGUGGAAUUGGACUGACAGUUGAGGGUUACUUAAGCUCUUUUAUGAAAUGAUUCUUAGCUGUCACAUCCCAAAGGGCCCCUUCUCUCCCAACACAUCCUAAUAAUUAUGUAGUGUGUGUGUGUGUGUGUGUGUGUGUGUAUGAGGUCAUGUACACAUGUUACCUAGGUGCUCAUAGGUGUAGGCGAGCAUAUAUGCAUUUGGAGGUCAGGGGCUUUUGUUGGGUGUCUUCCUUGGGUUCUCUCCACCUUAUUGUUUGAGACAAGGUGUCUCACUGAAUCUGAAGCUUGCUGACUUCUAGAGUUGUUGGGCAUCAGGCGUUGGGGAUCUGCCCAUCCCAGAUCUUCCCAUCAGAGCUGGAGUUACAGGCAUGCACUGUGGUACCCCUAUUUUGUGAGUGUGCUGGGAUUUUGAAUCCAGGCCUUCCGAUUUCUUCAGGGAGCACGUUAGCAACUGAGCUGCGUCCUCAGCCCCUGGUCAUCAUCUCUCCAGCUGUGGGCAGAAUUGUGGUUAAGCUUAUUACUCUUUCCUCACCAUUAAAUCUUCUGUUAGCUUUAGUAUUUUAGAGGAUCCUCUUGCUGGAAUCCUUUAGGGCUCAGACAGAGCCUGGAGCAAAGUCAUUUGUGGCCAGAGCUCAGCAAAGAAAAAUGACUGUCAAAUGCCAUCUUAUCUCCAGAGAACCGAGCUUCUGAUCAGCAGGCAUUCCAUCAUGGCCUUGGAGUUAACCCAUGCACAAGGACUUGAUUUGUGUCUUUGUAAUAGCUAUUGGUGCCUCUGGCAUCGACCCUGACUCCCCUUCAUCUUGAAGGAGAAAAACGUCCAUCUCAAAGAUUUAAAUUUAUUAUUUUGCCCCAGAUAUAAAAGCACAGAUGUCCAUCAGACACCAAACACUUCAGCAUCCACAGCCCAGUAGCUUCUCAGGGGCAAGUGGAUGAAAUGUCUUUCAAACAAUCGAUACCCUCAGGUCUUACAGCCUUGUUUUAAAACUUUGCAGACACUGGACGUGAGGUUAAAUUUGAAUUUUCAGGGCUGAGAGCCGGAUGGAACUGGCUUUUCCCUCCUCUAUAAUGCUGAGUGAGGAAAUCCAUUCACUCCUGGCCUGUUACUUUCUUCAAGUCAGGUGUGAUUGCUGAUACCAGCUGCUUCCUUAGUCUGUAAUUUGAUUACACGGAAGUUACCUUCGUAGCUUUUUUAAAAAAAUAAAUAGUUACAUUCUCAGACUGAAAUUUUCCACUUUAAAGGUUUUCAU
rnacentral:lncRNA from 1 species